GUCCAGAGAGAUGACGCGCGACGGGCCGCCGACGUCAACCCCGGCAAGCUCGACCCCAUGGACAACGACAUCUUGUUCCAGUGCGAGGACAUGGGCGCGAUGGAGAAGAGGUUGAAGGAGAUGGGGAUCAGGUACAUGAAGAGGACCAUCAACGAGGAGGAGGGUUCGCCGAUCGACCAGCUCUUCUUCAAGGACCCCGAUGGCUUCAUGAUCGAGAUCUGCAACUGUGAGAACCUCGAGCUCGUCCCCGCCGGCGCGCUCGGCCGCCUCAGGCUCCCCCGCGACCGCCACAACCCGCCUCUCCGGAUGGAUGGCGGAGCUCGCCGAGCACGCGGCAGGCAUGGUGCGAGGGACGGCGCCAGGCGCCCGAGCCGCUCCCUCUCCGGCGUGUUCAAAGUGUUUGACGAAAUGUCAAGCACAACUUGA
rnacentral:rRNA from 1 species